CCCUGUGUGGCUCAGUUGGUAGAGCAUGGUGUUUGCAACGCCAGGGUUGUGGGUUUGAUUCCCACGGGGG
rnacentral:tRNA from 1 species